GGUCUAGCUUGCUAGACUGAUGGCGAGUGGCGAACGGGUGAGUAACGCGUAGGAAUAUGCCUUAAAGAGUGGGACAACUUGGGGAAACUCAAGCUAAUACCGCAUAAGCUCUGAGGAGUAAAGCUGGGGACCUUUGGGCCUGGCGCUUUAAGAUUAGCCUGCGUCCGAUUAGCUAGUUGGUGAGGUAAGGGCUUACCAAGGCGACGAUCGGUAGCUGGUCUGAGAGGAUGACCAGCCACACUGGGACUGAGACACGGCCCAGACUCCUACGGGAGGCAGCAGUGGGGAAUAUUGGACAAUGGGGGCAACCCUGAUCCAGCAAUGCCGCGUGUGUGAAGAAGGCCUGAGGGUUGUAAAGCACUUUCAGUGGGGAGGAGUGGUAUUUAGGUUAAGAGCUAGAAUAUCGGACGUUACCCACAGAAGAAGCACCGGCUAACUCCGUGCCAGCAGCCGCGGUAAUACGGAGGGUGCGAGCGUUAAUCGGAAUUACUGGGCGUAAAGGGUGCGUAGGUGGUUUGAUAAGUUAGCUGUGAAAUUCCUGGGCUUAACC
rnacentral:rRNA from 1 species